AUUGAACGCUGGCGGCAUGCUUUACACAUGCAAGUCGAACGGUAACAGGCCGCAAGGUGCUGACGAGUGGCGAACGGGUGAGUAAUGCAUCGGAACGUGCCCAGUCGUGGGGGAUAACGCAGCGAAAGCUGCGCUAAUACCGCAUACGAUCUAUGGAUGAAAGCGGGGGACCGUAAGGCCUCGCGCGAUUGGAGCGGCCGAUGUCAGAUUAGGUAGUUGGUGGGGUAAAGGCUCACCAAGCCGACGAUCUGUAGCUGGUCUGAGAGGACGACCAGACACACUGGGACUGAGACGCGGCCCAGACUCCUACGGGAGGCAGCAGUGGGGAAUUUUGGACAAUGGGCGCAAGCCUGAUCCAGCAAUGCCGCGUGCAGGAAGAAGGCCUUCGGGUUGUAAACUGCUUUUGUACGGAACGAAAAGGCUCUGGUUAAUACCUGGGGCUCAUGACGGUACCGUAAGAAUAAGCACCGGCUAACUACGUGCCAGCAGCCGCCGCAG
rnacentral:rRNA from 1 species